UUUCUGUUUGUUAGUUUUCCUUCUAACAGACAGGACCCUCAGCUGCAGGUCUGUUGGAAUACCCUGCCGUGUGAGAUGUCAGUGUGCCCCUGCUAGGGGGUGCCUCCCAGUUAGGCUGCUCGGGGGUCAGGGGUCAGGGAACCACUUGAGGAGGCAGUCUGCCCGUUCUCAGAUCUCCAGCUGUGUGCUGGGAGAACCACUGCUGUCUUCAAAGCUGUCAGACAGGGACAUUUAAGUCUGCAGAGGUUACUGCUGUCUUUUUGUUUGUCUGUGCCCUGCCCCCAGAGGUGGAGCCUACAGAGGCAGGCAGGCCUCCUUGAGCUGUGGUGGGCUCCACCCAGUUGGAGCUUCCUGGCUGCUUUGUUUACCUUAGCAAGCCUGGGCAAUGGCGGGCGCCCCUCCCCCAGCCUCGCUGCCGCCUUGCAGUUUGAUCUCAGACUGCUGUGCUAGCAAUCAGCAAGACUCCGUGGGCGUAGGACCCUCCAAGCCAGGUGCGAUAUAAUGUCGUGGUGCGCCGUUUUUUAAGCUGGUUGGAAAAGCGCAGUAUUCGCGUGGGAGUGACCCGAUUUUCCAGUGAGAUGAACCCGGUACCUCAGAUUGAAAUGCAGAAAUCACCCGUCUUCUGCGUCGCUCACGCUGGGAGCUGUAGACCGGAGCUGUUCCUAUUCGGCCAUCUUGGCUCCUCCCUCAGGAUUGGCAAACACAAAUCAUGUUCCAAGUUCUGCCUUCCACCUGAGUGAAAUACAUCACCGCUUUCCCUGCUCCCGCCGCCAUUAAAAUUGUGUUUGGCAUCUGACCACCAAGAUACAGAUAUUUCCUAGACUGUUUUGCAGCUAGGUACUUAGAAAUAUCAACACUGUUUGCACUAUAAUUUACUUUUUGAGCCUCUGACAUUUACCCAGCUGACUGUCUUUGGAGAACAAUCUCUUGUCUGAGAAGCACUCUAGAAUGGAAGCCUCUUUGAAGAAAGUGUGGGAGGGGCAAAUCUAGACCACAGGUGAAGAAAAUGGGAUACAACAACCAGGAGAGGAUGAAAAUAUGAGAUGAAAAAUAUG
rnacentral:lncRNA from 10 species